rnacentral:snRNA from 1 species
GGAUGCGAGGGUGAUCUGGCUGUGACAUCUGUCACCCCAGUGAUUGUCAGUGUUGAUUUGGCUGAUCUGGCUGGCUAGGUGGGUGUUGCCUUCCUUUAUCUCCAUGUGUGUCCCUCCUGAAGCUGCAUGCUCGGCUGAAAGAAGUCUUCUCUCUUGGAAGACUGUUCUUCAGGCAAGGGUAAAAGAGUGGCUGUGCUUCCCUGCUAGAACCCCCAAACAAGCUCUCAGGCCUAUUUGUAGGAAAACAUAGGGCAGUCAAACUCCCAGGACUCCAGACAGAUCUAAAUGAGGUGCUGCAUGUGGCAGUCUGCCUUUCUUG